UGGGGAAUAUUGGACAAUGGGCGCAAGCCUAAUCCAGCAAUGCCGCGUGUGUGAAGAAGGCCUUCGGGUUGUAAAGCACUUUUAUCAGGAGCGAAACGGCUGUCGGCUAAUACCCGGCGGAACUGACGGUACCUGAGGAAUAAGCACCGGCUAACUUCNGUGCCAGCAGCCGCGGUAAUACGAAGGGUGCAAGCGUUAAUCGGAAUUACUGGGCGUAAAGCGUGCGUAGGCGGUUUCUUAAGUCUGCUGUGAAAUCCCCGGGCUCAACCUGGGAAUGGCAGUGGAUACUGGGAGGCUAGAGUGUGUCAGAGGGUGGUGGAAUUCCCGGUGUAGCGGUGAAAUGCGUAGAGAUCGGGAGGAACAUCAGUGGCGAAGGCGGCCACCUGGGACAACACUGACGCUGAGGCACGAAAGCGU
rnacentral:rRNA from 1 species